rnacentral:rRNA from 1 species
CCUACGGGUGGCAGCAGUGAGGAAUAUUGGUCAAUGGGCGAGAGCCUGAACCAGCCAAGUCGCGUGAGGGAGUACUGCCCUAUGGGUUGUAAACCUCUUUUGUCGGGGAGCAAAAGCCGGACGUGUCCGGCUGUGAGAGUACCCGAAGAAAAAGCAUCGGCUAACUCCGUGCCAGCAGCCGCGGUAAUACGGAGGAUGCGAGCGUUUUCCGGAUUUAUUGGGUUUAAAGGGUGCGCAGGCGGAUUUUUAAGUCAGCGGUAAAAUCGUGGGGCUCAACCCCAUCCAGCCGUUGAAACUGGGGAUCUAGAGUGUGCGAGAGGUAUGCGGAAUGCGUGGUGUAGCGGUGAAAUGCAUAGAUAUCACGCAGAACCCCGAUUGCGAAGGCAGCAUACCGGUGCACAACUGACGCUCAGGCACGAAAGCGUGGGUAUCGAACAGGAUUAGAUACCCCAGUAGUC